rnacentral:miRNA from 4 species
UGCAACUUACCUGAGUCAUUGA